rnacentral:rRNA from 1 species
UAAGGAAUAUUGGUCAAUGGACGCAAGUCUGAACCAGCCAUGCCGCGUGAAGGAUGAAGGUCCUCUGGAUUGUAAACUUCUUUUAUCUGGGACGAAAACGGGAUUUUUAUCUCAAUUGACGGUACCAGAGGAAUAAGCACCGGCUAACUCCGUGCCAGCAGCCGCGGUAAUACGGAGGGUGCGAGCGUUAUCCGGAUUUACUGGGUUUAAAGGGUGCGUAGGUGGGCUUAUAAGUCAGUGGUGAAAUCUCCGAGCUUAACUUGGAAACUGCCGUUGAUACUAUAGGUCUUGAAUUAUCUGGAGGUAAGCGGAAUAUGUCAUGUAGCGGUGAAAUGCUUAGAUAUGACAUAGAACACCAAGUGCGAAGGCAGCUUACUACAUAUAAAUUGACGCUGAGGCACGAAAGCGUGGGGAUCAAACA